UGGGAUGGUGGGGAGAUAAGAACCAUGAGAGAAGUUGGCACAAAGGAGUUAUGGGACAAAGGGUCCAAGAUAGGCAGAAAAGAAAAUGUUGCCAGUUGAUGGGGAAGAAAGGAAGUCAGAGGGCUCAGACACUGUGGGGGACAGAACAUCUCCAUGUGCACUCUCAUCUCUUGUAGUCAGUCCAAGAUAGGCAGAAAAGAAAAUGUUGCCAGUUG
rnacentral:lncRNA from 1 species